AUUCAUUUUCAGAUGUGUCCACCAGAUGGCGGAGUUUCGGGGCUCCGCCAUUCUUUCCCAGAAAACGAGCCAGGAAGGUCGAUUAAUGCUCACCUUAAAACAUUUUGAUUGGACUUAAAUGGCCACUAGGCCAAAACCUCCGAUGAGUCUGAUCACAUUGCUGGAUUGAGAGUUUGAGACUGCUUCUUACUAAGAUGCCCUCGCAUGCUACGUGUCCGGCUGUACCUGUACGUCUCACCUUUAGAAAAAGAAGUUCCACAGCCAGGUGAAGUCUGAGCUACUGCAAUGCUGUCUAUUGUUCUCUUCGUUUUCUUGCAGCCAGCUGAUGAAUGGUGUGAUGAGCUGCUACUUGCAUCCCAUCGUGCUGGUGUGGUGAGCUGCUUCUAUCCAGCCAGUGGUGCUGGUGUUAUCCUGAAUUAUCGGCUCUAGAUUACUGAAAAAAUUUUGGAUUGUUGUGUUUGUGGACUAAAGAUGCAUAUUUUCCUUCAUAUAUAGUAAAAGUUUUUGAAAACUUA